CAGUCGCCGCGGUAAUACGUAGGGUGCAAGCGUUGUCCGGAAUCAUUGGGCGUAAAGCGCGCGUAGGUGGCUUCGUAGGUCCGUUGUGAAAGUCAAAGGCUCAACCUUUGAACGCCGAUGGAUACUGCGGAGCUAGAGUACGGAAGAGGCGAGUGGAAUUCCUGGUGUAGCGGUGGAAUGCGCAGAUAUCAGGAGGAACACCAAUAGCGAAGGCAGCUCGCUGGGACGUUACUGACACUAAGGCGCGAAAGCGUGGGGAGCGAACAGGAUUAGAUACCCGAGUAGUCCCUGUCUCUUAUAU
rnacentral:rRNA from 1 species